GCGUAAAAAAAGGUAACCUGCGAGUGCCAUGCUUGGCACUUGCAGUUCACCCAGGUGUGUUAGAACAGCGAAUAAAUAUUCACUGUCCUAGCACUGAACCGCCAAUCAGGUGCUCAGUUCUGUUACCUGUCGCCUGAUUGGCUGAAACGUCUGGCGCUGUGAUUGGACACCUGACGGAAGGAGAGGACAGGAAGAGACAAUGAAGAGGACACCGCUCAUUGCCGUCACCCGCUGCACCACCGAGACAGGAGAAAGGGACUAAUAGCGGCCUUUGUCUGCUCAGAGGUUGGGGAGUGACAGAACAUGUGGUUGAUGCUUUUACUGGAUCUGCUGUCCUGGCAGGGAAACAAGCUGCCUAAGCAACUUUCUUCUCAAUGUUGUAACAAUAAGGCUCCAUUCACACAGCCAAUAUUUGCAUGAUAUCUGUUGCUGAAGUUGCCUGAAACUUUCCUCAUUGUUUUGUACAGGCCUCUUCAUCACGUUACAGAAGUAUAACCCCCCCAGUGAUGCCUCAUUAAAUACAAUGGAUUUAUA